rnacentral:misc_RNA from 1 species
GAUGAAGAACGUAGCGAAAUGCGAUAAGUAAUGUGAAUUGCAGAAUUCAGUGAAUCAUCGAAUCUUUGAACGCACAUUGCGCCCUUUGGUAUUCCGAAGGGCAUGCCUGUUCGAGCGUCAUUAUAACCACUCAAGCUCUCGCUUGGUAUUGGGGUUCGCGGUCUCGCGGCCCCUAAAAUCAGUGGCGGUGCCUGUCGGCUCUACGCGUAGUAAUACUCCUCGCGAUUGAGUCCGGUAGGUGACUUGCCAGCAACCCCCAAAUUUUUCAGGUUGACCUCGGAUCAGGUAGGGAUACCCGCUGAACUUAAGCAUAUCAAUAAGCGGGA